GCGAGGCUUAGGCACUUCCUCUCCCAUUGAGACCAGACAAGACGGCCGGACAGAGCAGACCCCAUCUGCUGCACACGUGCGUGCGAGGAAGCCUAGAUCCAGCCCGUAUAUGGUCUUUGGUUGGUGGUUCAGACUCUUAGAGCCCCAUGGGUUCAGAGCUGUAACACUUGGGAAGAGAUCUCUCCCGAAGAGCCGCGCACGAGUUUUCCUCACUGAAUUGUCUCACAGAAUUGGAGUUACCGAGAGAAUUGUCUCACUGAAUUGGAGUUACCGAGGGACCUGGAAGGAGUGGCAGAUGCUUCGUCCCCCUGCCUGCACUCACUUCCCUCGCUGGGACCUUCCCACCCGGCCUGGAUAGAGGUCUCCGUGGAAAACUUCUGGUACCUAGGCCCACAUCUCCCUAGAAGUGAUCUCGAGGUGAUCUCAAGGUGAUCCUGAGGUCCUGCGGCGUGGAGAGUACUCUGGAGCCCUUAGCGGCCUCUGCUGCGUUCAGACGGAAGAUGGCGGGGAUAGUGUAGUCUUUAUCAAGGAAACCGAUGGAGAGAACUACAAAAAACACAGAACCAACAAACUGCAGAGUUGUGAAGUCCAGACCCAGCGAAUCCAUCUACAAAACACUCUCAAACCUAAGGCUCUGGGGACAUUUGAGAAGAGGGGUGGAAAGACAGUAUGAGCCAGAGGAUCAGGAAAUUUGCUGUGCGAUUUUGUCUCCUAAUGCCAGAAGCUACAACCAGAAAGUCUUCCCAACAUGACUGACUAUCCCAAAAUAUUGCUAAACAAGAAUGACACAGCAGAUUUGACAAUGUGAACAAGAAAAAGCCCACGAAGCUUCAACUUUCCAGAAAGAACUACAAGAGUAAAGCCAGGAUUGGGAUAAGGUGGGCUUUUUUUUUUUUUUAUAAGGAAGAGCACAACAAUUGGUUGUCCAAUGCCAAAUGGUCAGCCCUGAAAACAUACAUACAAAUAACAUUAUAUGGACUGAGCUGGUUGUAUUUAGGAAUGCAUACAAUAACAAUUUAUGACAAAAGAUGCCAUGAGUUAGAAGGAGAGGAGGAAGGGGAAUAUGGUAGGGUUUGGAGGGAGAAAGGUGAAGAGAAAAUAUUGUAAUUGUAUUAUACUCUCAAAAAUAAAAAAAAAUACAUUGUAUGAAAUUCUCAAAGAACUAAUAAAAACGUUGUUGUUUUUAA
ensembl:lincRNA Gm12606 predicted gene 12606